rnacentral:snRNA from 10 species
GGAUGUGAGGGCAAUCUGGCUGUGACAUCUGUCAUCCCAUUGAUCACCAGAGUUGAUUCAGCUGAUCUGCCUGGCUAGGUGGGUGUCCUCUUCCUCCUUCACUGCCCCAUGUGCGACCCUCUCAAAGCUGCAAGCUUAGUCAAAAUGGACGACCUUCCCAGAUAGAGGAGGACCAUUCUUUGGUCAAGGGUAUACAAGUAGCUGCACUCCUCUGCUAGAACCUCUAAACAAGCUCUCCAAUGUGGUGGUCAUUACCCUUUGUAUUUGUUUAUUUUCAUACUGCCAUGUAGAGUUUGAGACCAGCCUGAGCAACAUGGCAGAAACCUG